rnacentral:rRNA from 1 species
CCUACGGGUGGCAGCAGUGGGGAAUAUUGGACAAUGGGCGAAAGCCUGAUCCAGCCAUGCCGCGUGUGUGAAGAAGGCCUUCGGGUUGUAAAGCACUUUCAGUGGGGAAGAAAGCCUUGGGGCUAAUACCCUCGAGGAAGGACAUCACCCACAGAAGAAGCACCGGCUAACUCCGUGCCAGCAGCCGCGGUAAUACGGAGGGUGCGAGCGUUAAUCGGAAUUACUGGGCGUAAAGCGCGCGUAGGCGGUCUGAUAAGCCGGUUGUGAAAGCCCCGGGCUCAACCUGGGAACGGCAUCCGGAACUGUCAGGCUAGAGUGCAGGAGAGGAAGGUAGAAUUCCCGGUGUAGCGAUGAAUGCGUAGAGAUCGGGAGGAAUACCAGUGGCGAAGGCGGCCUUCUGGACUGACACUGACGCUGAGGUGCGAAAGCGUGGGUAGCAAACAGGAUUAGAUACCCUAGUAGUC